UGCAUGUGGGUUGUUAAGUACUUAGAAUUAGUCAUUGGUGGAUGGUUGUAUAUUCUUAAAAAAUAAUUAAUAUUUUUAAGAUUGACAGGGAUUUGAUAUGUAACCUUUUCCCUCAGCCCUGUAAUGAUUGCUCUAGAUUUUUUUUUUAUAUUUUUCACAUAGUAUUUCAUAUACCUUCUAUACACUGUAAACUAUAUCUCACUCUUUUGUCAGAAUACAGUAUUGAUAUUGUUUGUACUUUAUGUUGUUUUCUGUAAAUAACAAAUUAUACUGAUCUGUUGAUUGUACAUAAUGAAUGC
rnacentral:lncRNA from 1 species